rnacentral:rRNA from 1 species
GGGCCUACGGGAGGCAGCAGUGGGGAAUAUUGCACAAUGGGGGAAACCCUGAUGCAGCGGUGCCGCGUGGAGGAAGAAGGUUUUCGGAUUGUAAACUCCUUUUAUCAGGGACGAUAAUGACGGUACCUGAAGAAAAAGCUCCGGCUAACUACGUGCCAGCAGCCGCGGUAAUACGUAGGGAGCGAGCGUUGUCCGGAAUUACUGGGUGUAAAGGGAGCGUAGGCGGGACGGCAAGUCAGAUGUGAAAUCCGGGGGCUCAACCCCCGAACUGCAUUUGAAACUGUUGGUCUUGAGUAUCGGAGAGG